rnacentral:misc_RNA from 1 species
AAUUAUCAACCUUCUAGCUUUUAUUAGCUAGUUAGGCUUGGAUUUUGGAGGUUGCUGGUUUCCUAGAAAUCAGCUCUUCUUAAAUUUAUUAGCAAAGUCUUUGCUGACCAUCAUUGGUAUGAUAAUUAUCUAUAUCAUUGAGAAUCAGCUUUCCAUCUUGGAAGGGUUUUGCUUCUAAUGGUCUAUACAGACAACUUGACA